UACGAAGGGGGCUAGCGUUGUUCGGAAUCACUGGGCGUAAAGGGGGCGUAGGCGGCUUUGUAAGUCGGGGGUGAAAGCCUGUGGCUCAACCACAGAAUUGCCUUCGAUACUGCAUGGCUUGAGACCGGAAGAGGUAAGUGGAACUGCGAGUGUAGAGGUGAAAUUCGUAGAUAUUCGCAAGAACACCAGUGGCGAAGGCGGCUUACUGGUCCGGAUCUGACGCUGAGGCGCGAAAGCGUGGGGAGCAAACAGG
rnacentral:rRNA from 1 species